rnacentral:lncRNA from 1 species
GGAUAAGGUACAAACUCCAUGCCGAUAGCACCCCGGGUCCGGGUGUGCACAGGCAGUGAUGAUUAAAUAUCCUCAAUAUUGCACUUGGCUGUAGCCACCUGAAUUGGUCUGGACUCAUCUUGCCAUGAAUCAGUGACUUGUCUGUGCACCAUUGUUUCUCUUCUUACCCGCCAAAUGCAUCACUUUGAGACACUGCUUCAUGUCCAUGUGAAAUCAUGUUGGUAUUUUAAGAAGCAGUUCUUUAUUGACACAUUCUGAAGAAAAGCAUCAUAUUUAUUGACUGUAAUGCAGAGCAACAGUACAUGUGAACUGGGUAAAAGAGCUCUUGAAAUGUUUUGUGUAAGACUUGCAUGCUAAAUGGCAUGUGUUGUCUUCUGCCCUAAACAAAGAGAGCCAGUACUUGAUGAACACAACUGCUGCAAGUCCAGUUUUGCCACGGCCUGCCCGUUGCUGAAGCCUCAUUCCAGCGGGAUUCACUCUGUUUCCACAGCCGGUGCAGAAAGUGUUGAGCAGCCCACCCCUGAAGCUUGAUUCACCACGAAGAGAAGCAACAUGAUUCCCAAGACCUUUUAAGCCAGACCGUGUCAAAGACUCAAGGAGCCUUGUUGCCGGGGGAACACACCGGAGUCUGUCUUUGGUGCUUUAAUAAACAAAAGUGCUUCACUUCCUUAUGGUGUUAUGGAUGUCUUAUUUCAAUGGCUGCUUCUCUGCUUUGUUCCAGGUC